GGGUCAUCUAGAUGGUUUAGGUUUUGGGUUUGUUUGAGCUGGACGAAGUGUAAGUAAAUUCUGAUUUUUAAGAGAUAGGUUAUUAGAGAAAGAUAUUGGGCUAGAGCAUGGUUGUAUACUAUUUAAAGUGAGGGUGGGACAUCUUGAGGGGAUAUGUAUGGGCUUACCUUCGAUUUCAGCUCAGGAAAGUCCAGAGAGGGUAAGUGUGGCCAGGGCUUAGUAUCUAUGUGGGCUGAAAUUUCCAUUUCUU
rnacentral:misc_RNA from 1 species